GGUGCUUGCAUCAUGAUUUACAUUUGAGUGAGUGGCGAACUGGUGAGUAACACGUGGGAAACCUGCCCAGAAGCGGGGGAUAACACCUGGAAACAGAUGCUAAUACCGCAUAACAACUUGGACCGCAUGGUCCGAGUUUGAAAGAUGGCUUCGGCUAUCACUUUUGGAUGGUCCCGCGGCGUAUUAGCUAGAUGGUGGGGUAACGGCUCACCAUGGCAAUGAUACGUAGCCGACCUGAGAGGGUAAUCGGCCACAUUGGGACUGAGACACGGCCCAAACUCCUACGGGAGGCAGCAGUAGGGAAUCUUCCACAAUGGACGAAAGUCUGAUGGAGCAACGCCGCGUGAGUGAAGAAGGGUUUCGGCUCGUAAAACUCUGUUGUUAAAGAAGAACAUAUCUGAGAGUAACUGUUCAGGUAUUGACGGUAUUUAACCAGAAAGCCACGGCUAACUACGUGCCAGCAGCCGCGGUAAUACGUAGGUGGCAAGCGUUGUCCGGAUUUAUUGGGCGUAAAGCGAGCGCAGGCGGUUUUUUAAGUCUGAUGUGAAAGCCUUCGGCUCAACCGAAGAAGUGCAUCGGAAACUGGGAAACUUGAGUGCAGAAGAGGACAGUGGAACUCCAUGUGUAGCGGUGAAAUGCGUAGAUAUAUGGAAGAACACCAGUGGCGAAGGCGGCUGUCUGGUCUGUAACUGACGCUGAGGCUCGAAAGUAUGGGUAGCAAACAGGAUUAGAUACCCUGGUAGUCCAUACCGUAAACGAUGAAUGCUAAGUGUUGGAGGGUUUCCGCCCUUCAGUGCUGCAGCUAACGCAUUAAGCAUUCCGCCUGGGGAGUACGGCCGCAAGGCUGAAACUCAAAGGAAUUGACGGGGGCCCGCACAAGCGGUGGAGCAUGUGGUUUAAUUCGAAGCUACGCGAAGAACCUUACCAGGUCUUGACAUACUAUGCAAAUCUAAGAGAUUAGACGUUCCCUUCGGGGACAUGGAUACAGGUGGUGCAUGGUUGUCGUCAGCUCGUGUCGUGAGAUGUUGGGUUAAGUCCCGCAACGAGCGCAACCCUUAUUAUCAGUUGCCAGCAUUAAGUUGGGCACUCUGGUGAGACUGCCGGUGACAAACCGGAGGAAGGUGGGGAUGACGUCAAAUCAUCAUGCCCCUUAUGACCUGGGCUACACACGUGCUACAAUGGAUGGUACAACGAGUUGCGAACUCGCGAGAGUAAGCUAAUCUCUUAAAGCCAUUCUCAGUUCGGAUUGUAGGCUGCAACUCGCCUACAUGAAGUCGGAAUCGCUAGUAAUCGCGGAUCAGCAUGCCGCGGUGAAUACGUUCCCGGGCCUUGUACACACCGCCCGUCACACCAUGAGAGUUUGUAACACCC
rnacentral:rRNA from 1 species